rnacentral:lncRNA from 10 species
CUCUGCGUGCGCCGGAGGCUGCCGUGGCGGGUGGGCCGCCUGACUUCUCCUCCCGGCCAGUUCUCGAGCGCCUCACCGGGCCUCGCCCUGCAGCCUCGCUCUCGCUGGCGCUGCGCGGCCUAGGGGACUGGGCUGCUGGCCUCCGGGUGCGGGGUGGGGGCAGGCUCCGACCUGGGGCGUCCUGGCCGCGCGAGCCGCGGGAUGGGGGCCCGGGCCGCGGAGGAGGCGCCGCUGGUGUGUCCCUUGGUGGAGAGGGCGCUGCCGGCCCUGCGCGGUUUCCAGCCAGGAAGCUUCGGGAAGCCUGGACGUCUGCUCACUGGAGAUGACACGUGCGUGGGGUGUUGGGUAAGUUGGUGCAUUGGAGCUGGAACAGGGUCAAUCCUCCAAUGUAACUAAGCCCUCCUGUGCAACAUCUUAAGUGACUGGAGGGACCAGUCGGUCUUGUGUUCACAUUGAGGCUAGAAGCUGUCUCCAGGGGAGUAAAAACGGAUUAUUUAGUCUUCAACAGGACACUGCCCCUAGAGGCGUUGCAGCUGUGGCUGCCGUGUCACAUCUGUGUCAUUAGGUGGCAGAGAUUAGAGAGGCUAUGUCUACGCUCAGCGUUCUGCCCCGUGAACGUUUGAAUGUUUGAUAGUCUCACACUCCUGUUUUGUGGACAGGCAUCUGUUUUCCUUCGCUGGUAUCUGGGAGAGAGGGUGGGCCCUGUGAGUGGGCUUUCUAACUCUCGCGCUGGGCUAGGCUGGCCUCUAGGGGUCUGAAGGGAUAGUGGGAAGGUGGAGGGUGCCUUCACCAGGAGCAGCCUUCAUGAGUGAGUUUUAAGAACCUGUGAGGAUCGGUCAGGUCAGGUGAGGUACGCGCUGGAUCAUGCCGUACACCGUGUCAGGAUCACGCAGGACAGGACUGGGGAAGGGUUUGCUGGCGUCUCGGUUAAUAGCAGUAACGGCAGCCGCUUGUGUUCUUGAUUCUUUGCCAAGCAUUCUUGUUAUUUAACACGGGAAGGAGGUGACUUCGCCUGUGAUGGACUUCCAGUGUGAGCACUGGCCAGAGUGACCAGGCUGACCAGCACCAGCCCUGAUCCAGGUAAGAGGUGAGGCGGAGGCUUGCCCUCCUUCCCUGCCUGCCGGGUGCGUGUGAGCGGCUGCCCUGCGGAUGCUGUCCUGGACCUGUUGGCACCACAGACAGUUGCUCUGCUGUGCCUGUGGCCUCGGGGCAAAGAGAAAGUGGCGAUUUCUACACUCAGUGCUCGGGAACCAGUGGGCACUGAGAAUGGUUUAUGGCCUGACAUUACUUGCAACCAAAGCCAGGCAGCAUUUGGAUUUUCGCUUUUGGAAACCACCUUACCUGGUUUGCUCCAUGAGGGAGGGGCAGCAACAUCGCUGGGAACCCUGAGGUGUAGAUAUGUAUAAAUGAGCUGUGUGUGUAUCUGAAGCUCGGGCACUUGUGGGGUUACCAGGAGUGUGCGUCUCACUCCCAGGCCUCGUUCUGGAAACGAUUCUGUAGGUCUGUCUGGGAGGCCUUAGGCAAGUUUGAUUAAGAACAGUCGAGCUGGAUAAACAGGCUGUUCCUUGUCCAGCACUAGUCAUCCCAGGGGGGCGGGGGCGGGGCUGCAACUCCUGUGCACAAAGGAAGGGCCCUGGGUAGGGGUCAGGAGCUGCCUUGCCCAGAGAUGUGUCUGGGUCACUUUGGAAACAGGAAUCCUCUCCCCAAAAUGGGUAGCAAUGGGGGUACAGAGGCCAAAGACGCAGCUGCAUGUCCUGCAGUGCCUGGGACGCCCCGUAGUGAAGAGUGAUGUGGCCCAAAUGUCAGCAGUGCCAGUGUCAGACUCCUGCUAAGAGACAGUAUCAAGAAAGAUAACUUCAAAAUACACUUUCUGGAGGCCUGGCGCGGUGGCUCAGGCCUGUAAUCCCAGCACUCUGGGAGGCCAAUGCAUGUGGAUCACCUGAGGUCAGGAGUUCGAGACCAGCCUGGCCAACUGCCUGAAACCCCAUCUCUACUAAAAAUACAAAAAUUAGCCAGGUGUGGUGGCGCAAGCCUGUAAUCCCAGCUAUUUGGGAGGCUGAGGCAGGAGAAUCGCUUGAACCCGGGAGGCAGAGGUUGCAGUGAGCCGAGAUCGCACCACUGCACUCCAGCCUGGACAACAGAGUGGGACUCUGUCUCAAAAAAAAAAAAAAAAAAA